UCCGAAGGGAGCUAGCGUUGUUCGGAAUUACUGGGCGUAAAGCGCACGUAGGCGGGCUGAUAAGUCAGGGGUGAAAUCCCGAGGCUCAACCUCGGAACUGCCUUUGAUACUGUUAGUCUUGAGAUCGGGAGAGGUGGGUGGAAUUCCUAGUGUAGAGGUGAAAUUCGUAGAUAUUAGGAAGAACACCAGUGGCGAAGGCGGCUCCCUGGCCCGAUACUGAGGCUGAGGUGCGAAAGCGUGGGGAGCAAACAGG
rnacentral:rRNA from 1 species